CUGCAGUUUCCUCAGACCUGCGAGGAGUCUGGCUCUCCGUUCGUCUUCGUCUGCACCAAUCCUCAGGAGCUGCUGGUGAAAUUCCCCAUGAAAGGGAAACAUAAGAUCUUCAAGCUGGAGAGUCAAUAUCAUAGGGGUGCGAAGAUGGGACUGGUUCCGUCGGCGGCCGUGUGACGUUGGCGAGAGAGAGCGAGAAAGCAAAGAGAGAGUGUGGACCAGCUGGAGGAGAGGCAGAGUUUGACGAGAACAUCCAGAGAGGGUCAUAUUCUGACUACUGUGUUUUAUCAGGAGUUCCAGCAAAAAAUAAAUAUGGACACACUGGCUAUACAUGGCAUCCUCUCAAGGGAUUUACAGUUUAAGGACGAUGACUAAGCAGACAUUCACCACACAGGAAAGUUAUUACCAAGUUCUCUACAUUCUAUACUGUGUACUCUUGAACAGUUGUAUUUUCUGCAAUAAACAAUGUUGAAAUUUAA